GUUCUUUUCCCGAUCUUUCAUGAUUCAGCCCAAUCUAUCACUGUUUCAGCAAUAUAUGGUGGAAUUUAAAUGAUCCGUACAUUAAAAAUAUUACGAAGCGUACCGUAUCAUUGCUUAAGUGAAUCGUAGUUUAUUUUUCGUUAGAAAAUUAUUAUCGUCGUAGUAUGUAGAGAUAACGCAUCAAACGCUUUAUGAUACACAAUUUGCUUCUCACGUGUGUUAUCAAAUUAUAUAAUUACAGGAUAUUGAACGAACAACAUGUAUGUAUGAAUCGAGGUUCAUGUCUUGCGCCGAGCGCAUGUCUUAUCAAGGAAUAUCAGAUACACGAGUUGUCUAGCAUUGUGCUCUUCUUAAUUGUGUUGCAGUUGUUAAGUAACUGGUUCAAAGUUCACGCGCACACAUUUACUGCAUGGAACCACCGUCCAUCCAAGGUUGAUUUCAGAAUGUGACUUCGAAUUACGUUAUGUAUAUAUGUAUAAUGCAUCGAUUCGUUUUCUCCACGAUUGAAAGCCAAUUCACACAAUAAGAGAUCUCGUGUAAUCGUCUAAAACUCAACUAGAAAGCUGGGAACUUGAUUACACGAGUGUUUACUUAAUUGAUGUUAUCGUUAUCAAUCGCCGAACGUAGUUUCGAGAUAAACACGACUGAGUAAUAAACUGUCGGCUGAUCAAUUCGAAUUUAAUUUUUGAUUAGUUUCAAUCGUGUUAGCAUCGAUAAACGAAGAACAUAGAACAAGUCCGGUACUCAGCAAAGAUAUUUAUACGGACAAGGAAUACCUUACCUAUUGUCAGGUCUCUUCCUGACUGGAACGUUAUACACCCUAUCCUUGUACCAGAGCACCAAAGCCAAAGGAUUAUUCACUUUUGUCGUAGACGGUCUCAGGAGAAAGUAUCCGUCUUGAGGAUUACUAUUUCACGAAUCAAUAAAAUCACUGGUCCGGGAGAUCUUCGAGUUAUCCAGAAUAGAGUCCUCUGAGAAAUCGUGGAUCACGACUGGAUCGGAUCACGAUUCGAAGGUGUGUCUCGGGAAGAUGAUUUGUAGAGAAGAACCGUUAGACCGUGACACGGAGCUUCGGGAUUCUACUUGGUCACGGGAACAAGUUCACGCUGUUCCACCAUUUUUCACGAAGAAGUAAGAUACGUCUGAUAUUUCGUUC